rnacentral:piRNA from 1 species
UCCUAAUAAGGAAGGGUGUCUAAUUGAGC